rnacentral:rRNA from 1 species
UGGGGAAUAUUGCACAAUGGGCGCAAGCCUGAUGCAGCCAUGCCGCGUGUAUGAAGAAGGCCUUCGGGUUGUACAGUACUUUCAGUCGGGAGGAAGGUGGUAAGGUUAAUAACCUUAUCAAUUGACGUUACCGACAGAAGAAGCACCGGCUAACUCCGUGCCAGCAGCCGCGGUAAUACGGAGGGUGCAAGCGUUAAUCGGAAUUACUGGGCGUAAAGCGCACGCAGGCGGUUGAUUGAGUCAGAUGUGAAAUCCUCGGGCUCAACCUGGGAACUGCAUCUGAUACUGGCAAGCUUGAGUCUCGUAGAGGGGGGUAGAAUUCCAGGUGUAGCGGUGAAAUGCGUAGAGAUCUGGAGGAAUACCGGUGGCGAAGGCGGCCCCCUGAACGAAGACUGACGCUCAGGUGCGAAAGCGUGGGGAGCAAACAGG